GAAAAAGAAACCAGGAUAUUUUAAAAGCAGAUGAAAAAGGAUUAAUGAUGAUAUAGGAUUAACUGGAACUAUCUCUGACAAUGUGGGCAGUUGAAAGCUUUGGCAUACAACAAUGUGAAACAGAGACGUUGCAGAGAUGUUCAACUACUUCCCCAUCUCUAGUUCUCCGCCCUAUGUACCACACAAUUCAACCCAAACUGUUUGCUGGAAAAAAUAGCUUGGAAACUCUUGUAAAGGGGAGUAUACAGGGUUGAAUCCAGAUGUGCUCCUCUGCAAACAGGUCUCCUUCCAUUUGCAAAGGGACCCAGGACCCAGCAGAGGCCUCCCACUGAGUUGCGGGAAUAGCUCCCUCCAAUUCCUCCAUCCAUCUGCAGACUUCAGCACUAUUUUCAUGUUGCUCUGGAGGCUCUCCCAACUCUCCAAUAGAGAGCAGGUGAUGGCACUGAAGGUUUGCAAGGGAAGAAUAAGAGAAAAUGUCUGUUCUGCCCACUGGCUUCAAUACUAAUGGAAUUUCACUGAAUAUUAAUAUGGGUUCAGCCCAACUAGUGCACAACUGCAGUUACCUUAAGAAUACACCCUGUCCAAACAAAAACAUAGCAACAAGAAAAGAAUUUAAAAUACAACUCUGGUUAUAAUUAUGUUUUGUGUGCAUCUAGCAUUUGGAAAAACAACUGAAAUUUAUCAUGUGUUAUUUGUUUGUUACUUAUCAUUUGUUGCAUUAAUGCAAUCUCUAAAAAUCAAAACUCCAUUCAAUAUCUUUGGAAAUUGUACUAUACUCCUUCCUCACAACAUCAUUGUUCAGUAUUUUUUCCUUCCCUAAAAAGGCUUAGUUACUGGAAAUGAAGAGUUUAAAAAUAUUCUAGUACUUUUUGGUUUUCGCCCUUUUGCCUUAGGCUCUGCGCCCAUCAUUUGAAUGUCAUCCCCAAGAACCUAUCUGAAAUUGAAUUCAGCCUUUGGCCUGAAAGAGCUUCUCACCUUUGAUCCAUAAUAAAUCUAUAACACAGCUUAUUUGCAGAAGCAUUGCUUAGAAAACAUGGGAGCCUCUAUUUAAUUAAGACAACUGUGUGAGAUUAUUAUGGUUUUCCUCUACUGGUAAACCAUGCUGGAACAUGGCUGCUCCACCUCCUUGCAGGGGUUAUUAGAACAACUACCUGGAGAGCAGGAGAGAAAGAAGAGACUAGCAAGGUGGGUCAUCAUCUGCUGCUGAUACAACAAGCUGGAACUGAGCUCCUCCUCACACUCACAUAAAUGAUCAGAACAAAAUGUUAUAUGAGGAGGAGAGGAAUAACAAGUGAACUAUCAUCAUCCCAACAUC